rnacentral:rRNA from 1 species
UACAGAGGGUGCAAGCGUUACUCGGAAUUACUGGGCGUAAAGCGUGCGCAGGCGGUUCGUUGUGUCGGCGGUGAAAGCCCCGGGCUUAACCUGGGAAUGGCCGUUGAAACUGGCGAACUGGAGUGUGGCAGAGGGGGGUGGAAUUCCGCGUGUAGCAGUGAAAUGCGUAGAGAUGCGGAGGAACACCGAUGGCGAAGGCAGCCCCCUGGGCUAACACUGACGCUCAGGCACGAAAGCGUGGGGAGCAAACAGG